rnacentral:rRNA from 1 species
AGAGUUUGAUCAUGGCUCAGAAUCAACGCUGGCGGCGUGCCUCAGACAUGCAAGUCGAACGCGAAAGUCUUCGGAUGAGUAGAGUGGCGCACGGGUGAGUAACACGUAGGUAAUCUACCUCUGAGUGGGGAAUAACUUAGGGAAACUUAAGCUAAUACCGCAUAUGCGGAAAGCAGCAAUGCGCUUAGAGAGGAGCCUGCGGCAGAUUAGCUAGUUGGUAAGGUAAUGGCUUACCAAGGCGACGAUCUGUAGCCGGCCUGAGAGGGCGGUCGGCCACACUGACACUGAAUAACGGGUCAGACUCCUACGGGAGGCAGCAGUCGGGAAUUUUGGGCAAUGGGGGAAACCCUGACCCAGCAACGCCGCGUGAAGGAUGAAGUCUUUCGGGAUGUAAACUUUGAAAGAAUGGGAAGAAGUUCUGACGGUACCAUUUAUAAGCCCCGGCUAACUCCGUGCCAGCCGCCGCGGUAAUAC